GGCAGAUGAUAACGUGUUCAACUGGCAAGCCGUAGACACUCUUCUGCUUCACCUAUCUGUUCACUCUUGUAGGCAAACGAUUAACGUUCCCCGCUUUGUUGCUACGAAAGCUAGCGUUUAGCUUGCUGAUUAUUGACGCUCCUCUCUUCACUUCAAAGCUGCGCUGUUAAUUCGCACUCGAGCUAAAGCAUCUUUCAAAAGCACUCGGUCGAGAAUGUGUUAUACUGAGGCCUUUUAAAUUUAUAGAAAAGCUGCUCUUCCCGAUUAAAUGCGAUGAGAUUAAAUCCAAAGACUGCUUGGGUCCGUCGGAGUCUGUCUGCAGCGGCAUCCCUUUCGACCUGAAUUCACAAAGAGGAGCUUAUUAGCUAAAUCAAGUCGCUUUUUUCUAAGCGACUUGAUCAGAAGAGAAGCAACUAACGAGCUACCUAGGUUUGUAAUUUACCGAAACGGGUUAAGAGUUCUUCAAAUCGUGUAACACCUCAAAGACACAUCUACUCUCUCGAAAACAACGGAACUUACUGUAUUGUAACCCAGCCCCUUUUUUGCCUAGGUUUAUGAAUACGCCCACUUUACCUAAUGUCCUAUCAUGAUUGGUUGUCAACACACAUUACAACUGAUGUGAUUGGUUAAAUGUUGUUCGGUCAAUUUCGAGGCAAGAACUGUGUCAAAUGUCUUGACUGCUUAUCGCAACGCAGCUGCUAAAACGAAAACUGCGCACCAAGAGUUGUUUUGCUUGUAUUUAACACAUGUAUGUCUUCUAUUCGAAACCUGUCUAGGAUUCAGAACAGUUUUUGCAUAAAUACAUAGAUGAAAUAGUCACUGGCCUGCUGUGAAUAUAUUUUCUCAUUAAUUAAAAGGUCCAGUUUGAUAUUUGAACUCAAGUUAUUAUUAAGUUUUUGCAUAUUUGACGCCCAGUGUCGUAAUGGGUAGGGCCAUCAGCCACAUGGGUAGGGACUGUGGGUUCUAGUAAACAUGGUUUAUAAUGCAGUAGGACCAAGUUACAAUAGUAACGCUGUCACCAAUACAGGCGCUCCAGGACCAUGUUGCUCCCAAUGUGCAGUUCUGUUUCUGGGUGAGCCAGCAGAGAGAGGAGGGUGUGGACCAUCUGGUACUCCAAAGAAAAGUAAAUGGGCCCAUGUCACCUGAACUGCAAAGGGUAAGUGUGCACACAAAGGUUUUCAUACUCAAUUUCACAAAGUCUAUAGGAACUGGUGAUGCAUCUACUUGUUUACAGAAUGAUAUUCUUUAGUUUUCUCUGCUCACCUGAGAAGUACAUGUGACUGUGUACACCAGAAACCAGCAGACAUGAAGCAGGUCAGUAAUAGCUUGUACCAACAUUUAAGUACCAGAGCUUCCGUAGGGAAAAGGGGUAUUUCAGAAUAAAGAUGCAGUAUUUCAAGAAUACUUUUGAAAAUAUUAAGUAAUGUUUAGGAAAUGUAGCCGUAAAUGCAUUUCAUUGUUUACCAGUCAAGUACAUGUCACUUACUUUUCUGGAUGUAUGUGUUACUGUACAUAUACUAGGGACAUCUUAUUGAACUCAGUAUGGCUUUACUGAUGAAAAAGGAGUUCACUGUCACAGUAUAACCAGGAUACGAUAUACUGUAUAUUUGUGCAAACAUAACAAGAGUGGACAUUAACUUGUGGACCCGUUCCCAGUGUUACUUCCUGUCAGCUGACAUCCAGGUGAGUUUACAGUCUGUGUUUCAGUUUCUGUUCUUAGAGAGUGGAGGCUUUCAUCAGCGCCUGAUCCCCAAACAGCUGCUUGAAGUGAACCACGUGCUCCUCACAGUGCUCUCCUGCAAGGAGGGGGGACAGGUAUGAGUUAUGGAUUAGAGCAGUGGUGGGAUACUACAAUUUGGAGGGUUGAAUGCGGGGUUUCCUCUCAGCCUCUGGUUCCUUUGCUGGAAGGAUCUGAACACGGUGUAGAACAACAUCUGAUCCUCCGUCUGCCGCGCAGCAUCCAGGAACUUUCGAGAGGACACAUUAUCAUGGCCGCCUGGAAACACACUCAAAAUAAAUAAAAUCGAAACGUACCGACACUGCGGAUGAAUCUGAGCGCGCCCAGAACCUGCUGCUUGGACAGCAGGACCUCCACGAUCUCAUCGUUGGCCGUAGACAGACGCUGAAAACAACAGCAAUUUAAAUAAAGCCGUUUAAAUAACGUUUUUCUGUUUAAA